GAUGAACGCUGGCGGCGUGCCUAAUACAUGCAAGUCGAGCGAACAGAUGAGGAGCUUGCUCCUCUGACGUUAGCGGCGGACGGGUGAGUAACACGUGGAUAACCUACCUAUAAGACUGGGAUAACUUCGGGAAACCGGAGCUAAUACCGGAUAAUAUAUUGAACCGCAUGGUUCAAUAGUGAAAGACGGUUUUGCUGUCACUUAUAGAUGGAUCCGCGCCGCAUUAGCUAGUUGGUAAGGUAACGGCUUACCAAGGCAACGAUGCGUAGCCGACCUGAGAGGGUGAUCGGCCACACUGGAACUGAGACACGGUCCAGACUCCUACGGGAGGCAGCAGUAGGGAAUCUUCCGCAAUGGGCGAAAGCCUGACGGAGCAACGCCGCGUGAGUGAUGAAGGUCUUCGGAUCGUAAAACUCUGUUAUUAGGGAAGAACAAAUGUGUAAGUAACUAUGCACGUCUUGACGGUACCUAAUCAGAAAGCCACGGCUGACUACGUG
rnacentral:rRNA from 1 species